rnacentral:rRNA from 1 species
AUUGAACGCUGGCGGCAGGCCUAACACAUGCAAGUCGAGCGGUAGAGAGGAGCUUGCUUCUCUUGAGAGCGGCGGACGGGUGAGUAAUGCCUAGGAAUCUGCCUAGUGGUGGGGGAUAACGUUCGGAAACGGACGCUAAUACCGCAUACGUCAUACGGGAGAAAGCGGGGGACCUUCGGGCCUCGCGCCAUUAGAUGAGCCUAGGUCGGAUUAGCUAGUUGGUGAGGUAAUGGAUCACCAAGGCGACGAUCCGUAAAUGGUCUGAGAGGAUGAUCAGGCACACUGGAACUGAGACACGGUCCAGACUCCUACGGGAGGCAGCAGUGGGGAAUAUUGGACAAUGGGCGAAAGCCUGAUCCAGCCAUGCCGCGUGUGUGAAGAAGGUCUUCGGAUUGUAAAGCACUUUAAGUUGGGAGGAAGGGUAGUAACUUAAUACGUUGCUAUUUUGACGUUACCGACAGAAUAAGCACCGGCUAACUUCGUGCCAGCAGCCGCCGUAAUAC